AACGAACGCUGGCGGCAGGCUUAACACAUGCAAGUCGAGCGCCCCGCAAGGGGAGCGGCAGACGGGUGAGUAACACGUGGGAACAUACCCAUCUCUGCGGAACAACUCCGGGAAACUGGAGCUAAUACCGCAUACGCCCUUCGGGGGAAAGAUUUAUCGGAGAUGGAUUGGCCCGCGUUGGAUUAGCUAGUUGGUGGGGUAAAGGCCUACCAAGGCGACGAUCCAUAGCUGGUCUGAGAGGAUGAUCAGCCACGUUGGGACUGAGACACGGCCCAAACUCCUACGGGAGGCAGCAGUGGGGAAUAUUGGACAAUGGGCGCAAGCCUGAUCCAGCCAUGCCGCGUGAGUGAUGAAGGCCUUAGGGUUGUAAAGCUCUUUCACCGAUGAAGAUAAUGACGGUAGUCGGAGAAGAAGCCCCGGCUAACUUCGUGCCAGCAGCCGCCGUAACAC
rnacentral:rRNA from 1 species